CAAUUCCUGAAAAUUGUGGAUAUGUGUUGCCCGUUGCUGGGGAACAGCAAAAAAGGCAUCAAAUACAGAUGUUGGAACUCCAUCGCCAUGUAAACGGCUGAGAUUCCAUCAAGCAGCGGCAACUAUCGGUAAGAGUUUGGCGAGGAAGCCGCAUGUACUCCUGAAUGUGUGCAUCAUUUCCAAGAAAGAAGAGAAGAUGAAGGAGAAGAAUUCCUUCGUUCGGGACAAGUUGGCCCAAUCUGAAACUGUUGAUGCAGGUCUAUCGUGGAAAGCUGCAGAAUUGAAGAAGGAUAAGAGUAUCUCACUCAAUCAUGGACAGAGAUUGUGGCACGAUUGAAGAAGCAUGGUGGCUGCCUUAAUAUCUUAGGGUCUUGAGUUUGAGCCCCUGUUCUCCGGUUGGAUUAACACCAGGUGGGGUUGAUUCAGCCUGUCAUCCUUCUGAGGUCGGCGAAAUGAAUAGCAGUGCACUGGUAAUAGAGGGCACUGCAUCAGCGGCACAGCUACACCCCCUGAAAAUGAUGCAACCAGCAGCUACAGACUGCACACUUGAGCUAUCAUAAUUCCUGCGACCGAAAUUACGUACAUGCGAGUUGUCUCCAGAGUUGGUGGAAGAUAACUUUGCCAUUCAUGUCAUACAUACUUUAAAUGAAUUAAUUGGGAAGUAGCUGCAUGUAAUGGAUGAAUGACAACCACUCCUUUUGUGGCAUGGCUAUCUGAACUGUAUGUAGGCCAGUCAGUGGUCUCGGCCUUGUAUGGAAUUGACAUUUCCCAGAAACACCGUACUUUUUCAGGUCUGCUCCGGGUAAAAAGCCUUUCGACUAUUCAUUUGACUUAUUUUGCGCAACUGUCAUCGACGCCAGUCUCAUUGAGCAAGAGGAGAUUAUGUGCCUUUCUCGUUUUGCUGGAGAUCUUCAUAAAAACCGCCAGAGACCACAGCGUGGGUGCAUCUGCAUGCAGGAGCCCCAACUUGAGACAGAGACUGCAGUCGCAUCUGAGGUUUGAUUCUCCUACCCACAAGAACGAGAGUGCAUUUGUUUACUGGCAGCAUACGUCAACGGCGGACGUACUGGAGAGACCCUCUUUAUCAAAGUCCGAUUCGUCUGAAGACCCGACUGAUUACUCCUUGCCACGAGCAUCCUCAUCUACAUCUGACGAGCGUACAAGUGAAGAGGUUCACGAGAUAUCAUUGCAGAACCUAUUCAUGUCAGGAAUGACGCUUCGACAACAGUUGAGAGAAAGUACAAAGACAGCAGCAGGACUAUGGCCAACUGUGGCAUCCAACCUCACGAUUGAGUCUGCGAUGUCAUUCAUCGCUAUCGCCGUCUACAGCACUGUCGCGUGGAUAAUAGGUGCUUCAGAUGAGCCCACUCUGGAAGAUUGCGUCAGUGCACCAGAUAAACAACAUUUGAAGCUCCUGUCAUUGCUGGAAGACUUAACUUACCUCCAGUCAAGUGGAUGAAAACAGACGCUGAAGUCUUUAUGUCUCGGACUUAUGCUCAGACAUUUGACCCAAUUGUCUCAAGUGCUCGAUCUCCUCAACAGUUUUGGACACUAUGCAUUUGUACUCAACUGUGCUCCGAUACGAAACUGCUUUAGCGCAGGAUCAGCUGAAUAGAGGAGCAGUUUAUGUACCUCCUGGCUUCAAAAAAAAUGCAGGUAUAAUAGCCCUGGGCGCUCACCUGGUAGCGGCUGGAUAAGAUAACCAGGGAACCAGUGGUUUGAAUGGAUGACCCACAAAAUAUGUAAUGGCAAAGAAAGUAAAUACCGAUGGAUUGUUUUUUUUAAUGCCAUGAAUAAACUUUGGUACAUCACUGGUGAUAAACAUUGUGGUCAAGCUUCAUCCAAAUUGUGUGUGCGGUAUCAGAAAAGAAAGCAAAUACAUAUUUUGGGUGGCAACCCCUAUGUAAAAUCCCUUAGACCCCAAUGUUUUUUAAUGCUAUGAACAAUCUUUGGUAUAUACAUGGUGAUGACUGUUGCGGUAAAGUUUCAUCGAAAUCGUUUGUGUAGUUCCAGAGAAGAAGUUGCAAGACAGUGUUUGUUGACGGACUGACGGACGAACAAUGCGCCAUCCCCAUAAGCUCCCCAGAAUUACGUUCCAGGUGAGCUAAAACUGGUAUUCUCUGUAUCGGUCUGGGAAAAUAUCGACUUCAAUGAAGAGACAUAAUCAGGCAGAGGAACCACUCAUCAUCCGAAUAGAUUUCUAAUUCAGAAAGGUGGUACUCGAGGUGGCCCGUACAAGUGUACUGUAUGUGGUGAAGUAUUCAGUCAGGUGUCAAACUGUCAGUCACAUGAGAAGUCACAUUGAGGAACACCCUUACGCUUGCGCAAUCAGAGCUUCAGUUAUAUAUGACAAAGCACACGAACAAUGAUUUUUCGAAACGUUAAAUCAUUGAAUCGCAAGCCUUGAGUCUAUUUGUCUAUUUAUCUCUAUUUAUAUCUAUUUAUAUUUGUCAAAGCUCUAUUUGUCUCUCCUGUCCAGCACGUGAGUCAUUUGAUAUGGAGUAAUUUUCAUCACUGUCCAAGGAUUCUGUGUCACUGGUGUAACACAUGACUUAUCAAGGACUUGAACAAAAGGGAAGCCCUUGUCAUUUGCAAUUCGCUCACCAGGUGACAGCACGAUCUAAUAUUCCACCGCUGGUGAGACGGAGAGGUGAGUUUGUGGAAAAUUUCUUCCCUUCUCAUCAUGGAGAGAGAAUCUCAUCAUGGAGGUUGAGAUCGCGUAGGUUUAUUCAAUGUCACUGAUAACUAUCUUAUUAUAAUGGCAUUGAAAAUGUGUCCAUAUAUAGCUGUAUGUGUGGGGUUUAUUCACUUCUCCAUUGGCCGU
rnacentral:lncRNA from 1 species